GAUGAACGCUAGCGGCAGGCCUAAUACAUGCAAGUCGAACGAUAUUAUCCAGCUUGCUGGAUAUGAAAGUGGCGCACGGGUGCGUAACGCGUAUGCAACCUACCUUAUUCAGGGGGAUAGCCCGAAGAAAUUCGGAUUAACACCGCAUAAAAUCACAGUUCAGCAUUGGACAAUGAUCAAAUAUUUAUAGGAAUAAGAUGGGCAUGCGUGUCAUUAGCUAGUUGGCGGGGUAACGGCCCACCAAGGCGACGAUGACUAGGGGAUCUGAGGGGAUGACCCCCCAACUGGUACUGAGACACGGACCAGACUCCUGCGGGAGGCAGCAGUAAGGAAUAUUGGUCAAUGGAGGGAACUCUGAACCAGCCAUGCCGCGUGCAGGAAGACGGCCCUCUGGGUUGUAAACUGCUUUUAUUCGGGAAUAAACCUAUUUACGUGUAAAUAGCUGAAUGUACCGAAGGAAUAAGGAUCGGCUAACUCCGUGCCAGCAGCCGCCGUAA
rnacentral:rRNA from 1 species